UAUUAGCUCAGGUGGUUAGAGCGCACCCGCGAUAAGGGUGAGGUCCCUGGUUCGAGUCCAGGAUGGCCCA
rnacentral:tRNA from 1 species